rnacentral:tRNA from 1 species
GCCUGUGUGGCUUAGUGGUGAAUGCGUUGGCUCUCCCACCAAAGGGCUGUGGGUUCGAUUUCCAAUCAAGGGCG